UAAGGGCGCACGGUGGAUGCCUUGGCACUAGAAGCCGAUGAAGGACGUUACUAACGACGAUAUGCUUUGGGGAGCUGUAAGUAAGCUUUGAUCCAGAGAUUUCCGAAUGGGGAAACCCAGCAUGAGUUAUGUCAUGUUAUCGAUAUGUGAAUACAUAGCAUAUCAGAAGGCACACCCGGAGAACUGAAACAUCUUAGUACCCGGAGGAAGAGAAAGAAAAUUCGAUUCCCUUAGUAGCGGCGAGCGAAACGGGAAGAGCCCAAACCAACAAGCUUGCUUGUUGGGGUUGUAGGACACUCUAUACGGAGUUACAAAGGACGACAUUAGACGAAUCAUCUGGAAAGAUGAAUCAAAGAAGGUAAUAAUCCUGUAGUCGAAAAUGUUGUCUCUCUUGAGUGGAUCCUGAGUACGACGGAGCACGUGAAAUUCCGUCGGAAUCUGGGAGGACCAUCUCCUAAGGCUAAAUACUCUCUAGUGACCGAUAGUGAACCAGUACCGUGAGGGAAAGGUGAAAAGCACCCCGGAAGGGGAGUGAAAUAGAACCUGAAACCGUGUGCUUACAAGUAGUCAGAGCCCGUUAAUGGGUGAUGGCGUGCCUUUUGUAGAAUGAACCGGCGAGUUACGAUUUGAUGCAAGGUUAAGCAGUAAAUGUGGAGCCGUAGCGAAAGCGAGUCUGAAUAGGGCGUUUAGUA
rnacentral:rRNA from 1 species